UGCCCAGUAACUCUUAUCCCUACCUCCUCGUGGUACUGACCGGGGUACGAGUAACCUUGGGGAAGGUCGGGUAAACAACCCCCGGUGGGAACUUUGGUCGUAUGCUGACAGGGAAGG
rnacentral:ribozyme from 1 species